rnacentral:tRNA from 1 species
GAGGGUGUGGCUCAACAGCAGAGCAUGUGCCUAGCGUGCACAAGGUCCCGGGCUCGACUCCCAGACCUCCA